AUACGGAGGGGACUAGCGUUGUUCGGAAUUACUGGGCGUAAAGCGUACGUAGGCGGAUCAGAAAGUAUGGGGUGAAAUCCCAGGGCUCAACCCUGGAACUGCCUCAUAAACUCCUGGUCUUGAGUUCGAGAGAGGUGAGUGGAAUUCCGAGUGUAGAGGUGAAAUUCGUAGAUAUUCGGAGGAACACCAGUGGCGAAGGCGGCUCACUGGCUCGAUACUGACGCUGAGGUACGAAAGUGUGGGGAGCAAACAGGAUUAGAAACCCUAGUAGUCC
rnacentral:rRNA from 1 species